GCCAAUUAUGAUGUUUCAAGAUACAAGGAAAGUUUUGAAAGAAUGUGGAUUUGCACAGUAAAAUAUCAACAACAACUGUAACAAAGCUGAAAAGGAAGGCACUGAGACAUCUUUGUAAAUCAAAGCUCUAAAACUCUGAAAACCUACUCUGGUCUGUUUGGCACCCUACAAAGAAAGAAAAAACAUGCUCAGUUCAUCUAGAAUUCAUUUUUUCUCUUGUUUAUUAAUGGUCUUUUUUCAGAGGAACCUCUCCUGCCUUCCUUAAAUUACCAACUAAUUGCUAAUUGCUAAAUUAAACCAGAGGCAGGUGUAAAUUUACACCACCCCUGACACAGCAGGCACAAAAGGACUCAGAUUGCCAUGUCAGGGCUUCCAGCACAGUAUAGCUGAGGACCUGGCUGUGGAGCUGCCUACUCAGAGGCAUACAAGAAGAGUCUUUAUUUUUGAAUAUCCUCUUAUGUAGAGAUUCUGGAUAUGGUACAAGGCCCUGAUCUGAACAUGCAUGGAAAGCCUCAAUUACAAGCUUCACCUCUCUGCUUUGAAAAUGUGGUGUUGGCCACCCAGUAUGAAGAAGGCUUCCUCAAUGCCAACAGCUGGAUUUUUAUUGUUGUAUCCUUUAUGGUCAUUGCUCAGUGAAGUCCUAUUUAGUAAGAAGAAUGUGAGCCACUCUUUAUUAGGUGUAAAUUGUGUAUUACUGCAUCAAGAGAAUGAUGUCGAUUUACAUGGAAUCAUGGCUUGGCUCACUCAAGCUCUGCUCCACUUCGCUGGACUCCUUUGGAACUGCAAAGUGGCAUCCUACUGAUUUCUUCUGCAACUCUAUUCCUCACAUCUCCCAGGCCCUGGCGUUUGUAUUUCCUGAUCUUAAAGCACAAUGUCUUAAUUAUGGUCAGAGAAAAGACAUAAGGAAAAGGAAUGUCCUGACUUGUCUUUUAACUGCAGUUCUUACUGGUAUUUAUUUCAAAGUGCAAUUACAGGAACGGAAAUGACUAUGCAAAAAUGCCCUUUUCCUACUAACAAUCUCAGCAGCUUGUGUACAUUUGAGUAAAAUCUUCAGACCUUUGUUGACAUAAGUUUUAGUGCAUGUCAUAUUUAUUUUCUAGCCUGUAUUACAAAAUAGCCUUGCAGGAAAGUGUCUUCAGGGAGAGGAGAAGGGUAAAGAACCAGAGGGACCAGCGGUGCAGAAGUCACUUCUGUCAGUUGCUUCUCUUGAGUCAGGCAGCCUUAGCUGCCGAAACUGUUAGCUUCUCCUGCCCCCUCGUGCAGGCUUGUGAACACUGCCAGCGACUUUCUCUGGCAGAAAUCUGCCAGAGAAACUGCAAAAUAGAAUAAACGAACACAGGACCUUCGGGAUAUAGCA
rnacentral:lncRNA from 1 species